GAUGAACGCUGGCGGCGUGCCUAAUACAUGCAAGUCGAGCGAACAGACGAUGAGCUUGCUCCUCUGACGUUAGCGGCGGACGGGUGAGUAACACGUGGAUAAUCUACCUAUAAUUCUGGGAUAACUUCGGGAAACCGGAGCUAAUACCGGAUAAUAUAUUGAACCGCAUGGUUCAAUAGUGAAAGACGGUUUUGCUGUCACUUAUAGAUGGAUCCGCGCCGCAUUAGCUAGUUGGUAAGGUAACGGCUUACCAAGGCAACGAUGCGUAGCCGACCUGAGAGGGUGAUCGGCCACACUGGAACUGAGACACGGUCCAGACUCCUACGGGAGGCAGCAGUAGGGAAUCUUCCGCAAUGGGCGAAAGCCUGACGGAGCAACGCCGCGUGAGUGAUGAAGGUCUUCGGAUCGUAAAACUCUGUUAUUAGGGAAGAACAACUGUGUAAGUAACUAUGCACGUCUUGACGGUACCUAAUCAAAAAGCCACGGCUAACUACGUG
rnacentral:rRNA from 1 species